rnacentral:rRNA from 1 species
UACGGAGGGUGCAAGCGUUAUCCGGAUUUAUUGGGUUUAAAGGGUACGUAGGCGGCUAGGUAAGUCAGUGGUGAAAGUCAGCAGCUUAACUGUUGAACUGCCAUUGAUACUGCUUAGCUCGAGUGCAGUUGAGGUGGGUGGAAUUCCAUGUGUAACGGUGAAAUGCUUAGAUAUAUGGAGGAACACCGAUAACGAAGGUAACUCACUAAACUGUAACUGACGCUGAGGUACGAAAGCGUGGGGAGCAAACGG